GAUGAACGCUGGCGGCGUGCCUAAUACAUGCAAGUCGAGCGAACAGACGAGGAGCUUUCUCCUCUGACGUUAGCGGCGGACGGUUGAGUAACACGUGGAUAACCUACCUAUAAGACUGGCAUAACUUCGGGAAACCGGAGCUAAUACCGGAUAAUAUAUUGAACCGCAUGGUUCAAUAGUGAAAGACGGUUUUGCUGUCACUUAUAGAUGGAUCCGCGCUGCAUUAGCUAGUUGCUAAGGUAACGGCUUACCAAGGCAACGAUGAGUAGCCGACCUGAAAGGGUGAUCGGCUACCCUGCAACUGAGACACGGUCCAGACUCCUACGGGAGCCAGCAGUAGGGAAUAUUCCGCAAUGGGCGAAAGCUUGACGGAGCAACGCCGCGUGAGUGAUGAAGGGCUACGGAUCGUAAAACUCUGUUAUUAGGGAAGAAAAAAUGUGUAAGUAACUAUGCACGUAUUGACGGUACCUACUCAGAAAGCCACGGCUAACUACGUG
rnacentral:rRNA from 1 species